rnacentral:rRNA from 1 species
UACGUAGGGGGCAAGCGUUGUCCGGAAUCAUUGGGCGUAAAGAGCGUGUAGGCGGCCAGAUAAGUCCGCUGUGAAAUCUCGAGGCUCAACUUCGAGCUGUCGGUGGAAACUGUCUGGCUAGAGUCCGGAAGAGGAGAAUGGAAUUCCUGGUGUAGCGGUGAAAUGCGCAGAUAUCAGGAGGAACACCAAUUGCGAAGGCAGCUCGCUGGGACGUGACUGACGCUGAGACGCGAAAGCGUGGGGAGCAAACAGG